CCUACGGGUGGCAGCAGUAGGGAAUCUUCCACAAUGGGCGCAAGCCUGAUGGAGCAACACAGCGUGAGUGAAGAAGGGUUUCGGCUCGUAAAGCUCUGUUGUUGGAGAAGAACGUGCGUGAGAGUAACUGUUCACGCAGUGACGGUAUCCAACCAGAAAGUCACGGCUAACUACGUGCCAGCAGCCGCGGUAAUACGUAGGUGGCGAGCAUUAACUGGAUUUAUUGGGCGUAAAGCUAGCGCAGGCGGUUGGUUAGGUGUGAUGUGAAAGGCUUCGGCUUAACCGAAGAAGUGCAUCGGAAACCGGGCGACUUGAGUGCAGAAGAGGACAGUGGAACUCGAGGUGUAGCGGUGGAAUGCGUAGAUAUAUGGAAGAACUCCGAUUGCGAAGGCAGCUGUCUGGUCUGCAACUGACGCUGAGGCUCGAAAGCAUGGGUAGCGAACAGGAUUAGAUACCCCUGUAGUC
rnacentral:rRNA from 1 species